CAGUGUGGAAGCUUUGUUCUUUCGCUCUUUGCAAUAAAUCUUGCUACUGCUCACUCUUUGCGUGCACACUGCUUUUAUGAGCUGUAACUCACCGCAAAGGUCUGCAGCUUCACUCCUGAAGCCAGCGAGCCCAGGAGCCCACCAGGAGAAACCAACAACUCUAGAUGCGCCGCCUUAAGAGCUGUAAUGCUCACCGCGAAGGUCUGCAGCGUCACUCCUGAGCCAGCGAGACCACGAACCCACCAGAAGGAAGAAACUCCGAACACAUCCGAACGUCAGAAGGAACAAACUCCAGACGCGCCACCUUAAGAGCUGUAAUACUCACCGCGAGGGUCCGCGGCUUCAUUCUUGAAGUCAGUGAGACCAAGAACCCACCAAUUCUGGACACAAUGUGACUAGUUCUUGCCAAUGCAGUGUGAGCGAAGCAGUGUGUCAUUUCUAGGCCAAGGCAGGAGGGGGGUUUAAUCUGGACUGAAUUGGAGGAAAGGAACUGGCACCAGAGUGGAGGCUGGAAGGAUGGUGGAACUGACACUGGGACAGAACACAGAAAACAGAAUAUAAUGCUAUUGCUCUGGCUGUAUCAAAUAAAAGUGUCAAGAGUGAGCAUCCUUGCAUUGUGCUGAAUCACAGAGGAAUACCUUUCAAUUUUUCUCCAUUGACUAUGAUAGCAGUGGGCUUUUCACAUGUGGGCUUUACUGUGUUGAGGUAAGUUCCUUCUGUACCUAUUUUGUUGAGUUUUUAUCAUAAAUGAUGUUGAUUUGGUCAAAUGCUUUUUCUGCAUCUGUUGAAAUGGUCAUGUGGUUUUUAUCUUUCAUUUUGUUAAUAUGAUGUAGCACAUUGAUUGAUUUGCAUAUAUUAAACCAGCCUUGCAUCCCAGGAAUAAAUUCCAAUUGUUCAUGGUGUAUAAUCUUUUUGAUGUGUUGUUGAAAACAGUUUGCUAAUAUUUUAUUAAAAUUUUUGCA